CAGAUGGUGAUCUACCCUUCCCCCCAAUUAUCACAAAAGGAGCUAUAAUCACUAACUUAUUCUUAAUAAUAAUGGUUACUGGUACCCUUACAAUAAUGUACAAUCCAAUGUUUAAAAAUUAUACCACUUGAGUUUGGUUUGAUCCUAUAAAUUUUCAACAAAUGUCUUAAAAUUUAAAAGCAGGCUGAUUAGUUUGGAACCAGACUGCAAGUAGAGCUAACAUUUGGUGAAUAAGAAAACAUCACAUUACAUUUUGGAUGUAUGAAAGAAAACUUGACCAUUUGAAGAUAUAUGAAUAAAGAAAUGUACUAUAGAUACUACUUUAGGAAAACACUGUUUGUAGUCGUGAAAGGUGCCAAAUUGGCAGAGGCUCACGUUUCUUCUCUUUACACCAAACAGGUAUUACAAAGAAAGUAAAUCUUUCAAAGGCCAGUUAAAUCUCCAUGCUGAUUUUUGGCUUUAUAAUUUGAUUAGUAUGUUUUAGCCUGAUAUUUCAAAAAUUAUAAAAUUCCCUUACAAUGUAACUGAAAAUACAUAUUCUGUUUAUUUCAGUCCAUGAAUAGCUAAUCA
rnacentral:lncRNA from 1 species